rnacentral:lncRNA from 1 species
UAGGAGGGAGAACAACUGUUUUUUUUCAUCUUCUUCAUUAAAAGGAUUACAAGCUGAACCGUAGCCCCAAAAAAAAUUCCCACAGCUACCGCGUGCUCUCACAGCAGCAACCAAACGACCCCCCAUUCUUCUUCUUUGACUAGUGGCAACAACACAACCAUAUCUCGACCCACACCCCCCGACCUUCGUCUUUUCCCGACCUAGACUAGGACUUCAUAAGCUUCAGCCAUUUUUGAAUCUUCGGCAACCAACUGACCUAAACCAGUAACAGUUCGCCGGAAGCCUGAAGCAGCGACACCAUCGGUGACAUCUUCAGUCCGAAAACGGGAGAAACAGAUGUUGAAACUAGAUUUCAAUCGAUUUUGGUUUUUGGUUUUUGAUUCGAAUGGUUACUUCUAUGAUUUCAUCUUAGUUCAUCGACACUAAGGAACAAGUUUCAAUCUAUUUUUAGCUUCAGUUCUGAUUUCAAACUCGAAAAUGCAACGAAAAUUCUAGCUAUCCUUUUGGUCUUGGCCUCCGAAGCUUCGUGGAAUUGUAGAACUUGUUUCGAAGCAGAGAGUUUGAUUCGAACUCAAAUCUUUGUUCGAUACCGCUGAUUUUGCCAUUUUUAGUAACUGCUGAAGUUUAUGUCAUGUUCAUCUCGAAUUUUAGUUAGUUUAUUCAAGUUUUCUUAUUCAACCAAUUGAGCGAUGGAGUUUGAUUGAGUUGGGGCCGUUCCGAGCUGUCCGUAGCUGCUGUUCGAGUUCUGCUUUUGAUCGGGUUUUGAUUUGUUGUUCGUUGGUUGUUGAUGUUCUUCUAAAAGAUUUUAAACAUUUGGACAGAGACCAAUUAAAAAGAAAACUAAUUCAAGGUCCACUUCUAUCUUUACUCUUUUACUUCCUGAUUUUGUCACAUAUUUGUUUGAAUGUCUGAUCCGUAUAUUCUUCAUGACUAGUUGUGAUAUUUUUAUCCUAUGAUGAAAUUUGGCUCAUUAACAUGUCUUA